rnacentral:rRNA from 1 species
UACGUAGGGGGCAAGCGUUGUCCGGAAUCAUUGGGCGUAAAGAGCGUGUAGGCGGUUCGGUAAGUCGGCUGUGAAAGUCCAGGGCUCAACCCUGGGAUGCCGGUCGAUACUGCCGGACUAGAGUUCGGAAGAGGCGAGUGGAAUUCCCGGUGUAGCGGUGAAAUGCGCAGAUAUCGGGAGGAACACCAGUGGCGAAGGCGGCGACCUGGGCCAAUAUUGACGCUGAUGCGCGAAAGCGUGGGGAGCAAACGGG